rnacentral:rRNA from 1 species
UACGUAGGGUCCGAGCGUUGUCCGGAAUUACUGGGCGUAAAGAGCUCGUAGGUGGUUUGUCGCGUUGUUCGUGAAAACUCACAGCUUAACUGUGGGCGUGCGGGCGAUACGGGCAGACUGGAGUACUGCAGGGGAGACUGGAAUUCCUGGUGUAGCGGUGAAAUGCGUAGAUAUCUGGAGGAAUACCGGUGGCGAAGGCGGCUAUCUGGACCGACAUUGACGCUGAGGCGCGAAAGCGUGGGGAGCAAACAGG